GCUGUAGGCUUUAAUUUUACCUUUAUUUAUUUUAUUUUUUUCCUCAAAAUAUAAAGCUAAGACUGCGAUCAAACAUGGCUGCCCUCACAGUAAACACCUAGCGGCCUACGCUCGAAAAUAGGGAUGUAAUGAUGCAUCGUGAAUCGGUUAAAAAAAAACAAUACAAAUGCGUGACAAUUCGCUUUAGUUGAAUCGGGGGAAAAAAAUCGCGUAUCAAGGCGCAAGGAGUAAGCUGCAUUAUCUCGAAAAGUGACAUCAUACCAUGAGACUACACACUCUACACUAGCACAGUAGGUGGCGGUAUGUAUGGAAGACCAAAAAAAAUAGAUUCUUAAGUCAAAAUAAUAAGAUACUUUCUCUUAAUAUUAAGAUAGUAUAAUAACGAGAAAAUAUGAAGUAAUGGUAUCAAAAUAUAAAACCGAUAAGUAUAAAAUUGUAUUGUGAAAAAAAAAAAAAUCGCAGCAUCCAUCUUAGCUUUGUAGGCUUCAAGUUUAGUUGAUAAACAAAAUUUAUCAGAGCAUUUAACACAGGCGUGGGCAAACCUGUGACUCGCGAGCCACAAUGGGUCCUAAAAUUGAACAGGGGGUGGGGGGGGUCAGGAGCAGAUAGAUGGAGUGUUUGUAUGAACUAAAACAAAAUGACUCGUAAAAGUCAGUCAGUUAAGGCUGAAAUGCUUUCAGCAUUGUCUAUGCCACCUAUUGGGAAAUGCGGGCAUUGCAGGGGAAGGGCAGAAAUAUAGUGAAAAUAGAAAUUAAUAACAUAAUUUGGAAAAUUCCAAUUCCACGUCCAGCCCCCGGGCCAUAGUUUGCCCACGCCUGAUCUAACAGAUUAACAGAAAAUGGAAGAACAGAUAGCAAAACAGUUGUGACUUUUAGAGGUUUAUUUUUAAAGCCACUUCAGUCGAGUAAACCAACAAUUAAAUAACAAUAACUACUUUAGUUACACACUUGUCUGAAUGUGUAAAUAUGGAAAACAAAACUUAAAGAAAAAAAAAAGACAUAUAGAGGUCAUUUAA